GACGAACGCUGGCGGCGUGCUUAACACAUGCAAGUCGAACGGAAAGGCCCUGCUUGCCGGGUACUCGAGUGGCGAACGGGUGAGUAACACGUGGGUGAUCUGCCCUGCACUUCGGGAUAAGCCUGGGAAACUGGGUCUAAUACCGGAUAGGAGCCAUUUUUAGUGUGAUGGUUGGAAAGUUUUUUCGGUGUAGGAUGAGCUCGCGGCCUAUCAGCUUGUUGGUGGGGUAAUGGCCUACCAAGGCGGCGACGGGUAGCCGGCCUGAGAGGGUGGACGGCCACAGUGGGACUGAGAUACGGCCCAGACUCCUACGGGAGGCAGCAGUGGGGAAUAUUGCACAAUGGGCGCAAGCCUGAUGCAGCGACGCCGCGUGGGGGAGGACGGCCUUCGGGUUGGAAACUCCUUUCGCUAGGGACGAAGCUUUUUGUGACGGUACCUAGAUAAGAAGCACCGGCUAACUACGUG
rnacentral:rRNA from 1 species